AAUGACUAUUUGGUUUAUUAUCUGCGUGCAAUCAUAUUGUCAAUAGAGAUGAUUUACCCAAGCUAUUUUUUGUCGGUAUGUAAAUUUGCUUUUAUUAUUCUUUUUAUUUAGAGUCUUGUAACAAUCACAUAGGAGAUUAUUCAUGAUGCUGAAUUAGGGGUUUCCAUUGCACAAUUUGAAAUGAAUGCACAUUCUCACACAUUCUGUAUUAAAAAGACUGGAACGGAACAAAGAUCAACCCAUACAUACAUAAAUAAUAGGACGUCUCUGUUUCUCCUGUUUAAUGUUGACACGGAAAGUAAACAGAUUUUCUUGGAAAAUAAGAGAAUUUUCUUAUUAGAGGAGCCAAGGUGAAAGUUUAAAAAC